rnacentral:miRNA from 1 species
CACGUGUAUGAUCGCAGUGACAGGCUGUCACUGCGAUCAUAGUGCUGUGAGAUCGCAGUGACAGCCUGUCACUGUGAUCACACAG